CGCUGAACUUAAGCAUAUUAAUAAGCGGAGGAAAAGAAACUAACAAGGAUUCCCCUAGUAACGGCGAGUGAAGCGGGAUGAGCUCAAGCUUAAAAUCUCCGUGCACGUUGUGCGCGGCGAAUUGUAGUCUAUUGAUGCGUGAUCAGCGCGGACGCUCGGGGUAAGUUCCUUGGAAGAGGACAGCAUGGAGGGUGAUACUCCCGUUUGUACCUGAGUGUUUUGCGCGUACGGUCCGUUUUCUUUGAGUCGCGUUGUUUGGGAAUGCAGCGCAAAGUAGGUGGUAAAUUCCAUCUAAAGCUAAAUAUUGGUGCGAGACCGAUAGCGAACAAGUACCGUGAGGGAAAGAUGAAAAGAACUUUGAAAAGAGAGUUAAAGAGUACCUGAAACUGCUGAAAGGGAACCGAAUCGUUUCCAGUGUCUAUAAUCUGCGGCAUAUUUCACGUGCGAGUGCGUGCGUUUCGGCUUGGUGGCAGCGGUCUUUUGGCUGCGCCCGUUGCUGUUUGUGCGUGUGCUUGCGUGUGCCCUGUGCUGCGGUGGGACGUCAGGGUCAGUUCGUAUGCUGCGGGAAAUGGCCGUCGGGGAGGUAGGUCUUGAGCUCUGCUUUUGGCUAUUAUAUCUCGGCGGUUGAGUCGUCGCGGUUGGGACUGAGGUGCCUACAACGUGCUUUUGAGCGCGUGCGUGUCUCUGUGUGCGCGCUGUGCGGAUAGCUUGCUAUGCGCGUGGCGUUGCGUGCGGAUUGAUAUGCGCUGCUGCUUGUUGCCGUUCGGGACUUUGACGAAAUGGCGCGAUCCGACCCGUCUUGAAACACGGACCAAGGAGUCUAACACGCGUGCAAGUGUUUUGGUGUGGAAACCAUAACGCGCAAUGAAAGUAAAGGGCGCCUUACGGCGUCUGAGGUAGGAAACCUUGUCGUUUUUCGGCGGGGUGGCACUAUCGACCGAUCAUGAGCCUUCGUGGCGAAAGAUUUGAGUUUGAGCACGUGUGUUGGUACCCGAAAGAUGGUGAACUAUGCCUGAGUAGGGUGAAGCCAGGGGAAACUCUGGUGGAAGCUCGUAGCGAUUCUGACGUGCAAAUCGAUCGUCAAACUUGGGUAUAGGGGCGAAAGACUAAUCGAACCAUCUAGUAGCUGGUUCCCUCCGAAAUUUUCCCUCAGGAUAGCAGCAACUUUUUUACGAUAGUUUUAUGAGGUAAAGCGAAUGAUUAGAGGAUUCGGGGAAGAAACUUCCUCGACCUAUUCUCAAACUUUAAAUCUGUAAGACCUGCAGGUUUCUUAAUUGAACUUGCGGAUGUGAAUAUCAAGUUGCUAGUGGGCCAUACGGGGUAAGCUCGUCUGGCG
rnacentral:rRNA from 1 species